rnacentral:tRNA from 1 species
GUUGAGGUGGCAGAGCCCGGAGAAUUGCAGAAGGCCUAAGCCCUUCAAACAGAGGUUCAAGUCCUCUUCUUAACU